rnacentral:rRNA from 1 species
CGAAAGCCUGAUCCAGCAACGCCGCGUGAGGGAUGACGGCCUUCGGGUUGUAAACCUCUUUCAGCAGGGACGAAGCGCAAGUGACGGUACCUGCAGAAGAAGCACCGGCCAACUACGUGCCAGCAGCCGCGGUAAUACGUAGGGUGCGAGCGUUGUCCGGAAUUAUUGGGCGUAAAGGGCUCGUAGGCGGUUUGUCGCGUCGGGAGUGAAAACUCAGGGCUUAACCCUGAGCCUGCUUCCGAUACGGGCAGACUAGAGGUAUGCAGGGGAGAACGGAAUUCCUGGUGUAGCGGUGAAAUGCGCAGAUAUCAGGAGGAACACCGGUGGCGAAGGCGGUUCUCUGGGCAUUACCUGACGCUGAGGAGCGAAAGUGUGGGGAGCGAACAGGAUUAGAUACCCUGGUAGUCCACACCGUAAACGUUGGGCGCUAGGUGUGGGACUCAUUCCACGAGUUCCGUGCCGCAGCUAACGCAUUAAGCGCCCCGCCUGGGGAGUACGGCCGCAAGGCUA